AUUAGCGGCGGACGGGUGAGUAACACGUGGGUAACCUGCCUUAUAGUGGGGGAUAGCCUUUCGAAAGGAAGAUUAAUACCGCAUAACGUCGCAAGACCAAAGAGGGGGACCUUCGGGCCUCUUGCCAUCGGAUGUGCCCAGAUGGGAUUAGCUAGUAGGUGGGGUAACGGCUCACCUAGGCGACGAUCCCUAGCUGGUCUGAGAGGAUGACCAGCCACACUGGAACUGAGACACGGUCCAGACUCCUACGGGAGGCAGCAUG
rnacentral:rRNA from 1 species